ACAAAUUGCAAAUUAUUUUUGUUAAGGUCUGGUUACAGAUACAAAGCAAAAAACUAUGUGUAAAACUCCACGCUCCAGUUCCCUGGCUGUGUGUGACUUUCAACUUGCAAGUAUGAAGUUUGACCCAAUUUUUCUUCCUUUCAUGUGAUUGGUCAAUGUCAUAUCAAUCCAAAUUUUAACAAUCCAAUCAGAGAACAGAUGGGCGUGGCUGUUGGAGGAGUGCUUUACUGAGCUUCAGGUCCUGAAAGGGUUUACGUGCUUAUGCAGGGACCUCCAGUGCCUUUUCAACGGCUCUGUGGACCUCGGACCUCGUGUUGUGUAAAUGACACACUCUUCACUAGCCAGGAUAGUUACAAAGCUUUCUCGUUAUGAAUGAGAGAUACAUGUUUUUAUUGAACAUUUGAACAUAAUACAGCACAAACUCUUUUAGAGUCCAGAGUUUUACACUAACUGAAAAAAUUGUGUCCCGCCGGGAGGUUGAGGAGGAUGAUCACACACACACCUGCAGCUGAUCAGCUUUGUCUGGGAGAGCUACUUAGAAGAGUGGCUGAGUUCUCGUCAACGCUAGAUCGUUGCGCGGCUGCCUCUGUGAUUUUCCAGGAGGAUUGGGCAGUGAGCACUAGGUACAUGGACACGGACACUGGGAAAGAUACGGUGCGGGAGUCCGUGACGCUCACUCACCUGGAGUGUGCACGGGGGUUCAUCGAUGUAUUGUGAUUUACCUCACUGUAAAUAAAAGCACUGCAUUCAUUA